rnacentral:rRNA from 1 species
AGCUUUUUCGACGGUAGUGUAUUGGACUACCGUGGCAGUGACGGGUAACGGGGAAUUAGGGUUCGAUUCCGGAGAGGGAGCCUGAGAAACGGCUACCACAUCUAAGGAAGGCAGCAGGCGCGCAAAUUACCCAAUCCUGACUCAGGGAGGUAGUGACAAGAAAUAACAACACUGGAAAUUUUAUUUCUAGUGAUUGGAAUGAUGGGAAUUUAAACCCCUUUCAGAGUAACAAUUGGAGGGCAAGUCUGGUGCCAGCAGCCGCGGUAAUUCCAGCUCCAAUAGCGUAUAUUAAAGUUGUUGCAGUUAAAAAGCUCGUAGUUGGAUGUCUGCUGGAAGCAAUCAGUCCGCCCUAUUUGUAGGGUGUGCACUUGAUGAAUUCUGGCAUUUUUGUCCCAAUGAUGUAACGGGGCGGUGGUAUUCGGUGAAAGCCGAGUAUCCUGUUUUCCGAUUAUUGGGAUACUGUUACUUUGAGAAAAUUAGAGUGUUUGAAGCAGGCUAAUUGCCUUGAAUACUGCAGCAUGGAAUAACAAUAUAGGAUUUCGGUUCUAUUUUGUUGGUUUCUAGGACUGAAAUAAUGAUUAAUAGGGACAGUUGGGGGCAUUCGU